UAACACGUGGAUAACCUACCUAUAAGACUGGGAUAACUUCGGGAAACCGGAGCUAAUACUGGAUAAUAUAUUGAACCGCAUGGUUCAAUAGUGAAAGACGGUUUUGCUGUCACUUAUAGAUGGAUCCGCGCCGCAUUAGCUAGUUGGUGAGGUAACGGCUCACCAAGGCGAUGAUGCGUAGCCGACCUGAGAGGGUAAUCGGCCACAUUGGGACUGAGACACGGUCCAG
rnacentral:rRNA from 1 species